UGCUCCUUUUUAAUGUCAAUUGUCAAACAAUAAUUUUUCCUUGGUCUAUAUUUUACCGUGAAUUCUAUUAAAAUAAUAAACUUAUAAGUAUCUUAUUAGAAAUAAAUAACGUUAUAACGUUUUAUUUCGAUCGGAUUUUGUUUUGUUUGUGUUUAUUAGUUGAUAUAGACGCCAUGUUGACUGAAUAUCCCCUGAGGGAUAAUGGCUUAUCGCAAAGCAAAAUUUUCUAUUGUUGAGUAAAAAUUCCUAUAAAGUUAUGACGUGUGCGAGUGUAUAUUAAGUUUAAUUGGAAACACAGUCGGUUAAAAAUAAUUUAAGGCGUACAAUGUCGCGCUGUCGUGUUAUCGUGGAAACAUGUUAAACGACUUACUCGGAUUAUAUAUUUAAAAUCAUAGCUAAAUGUAAAGUUUUAAAACUCGCAUUUGUUUUUCUUUAUCGAAUCGUAUUUUCAUUUUUGAAAUUUUUUUUUUCAAAAUUCAGUAGUGUGCUGUCAGUCAGUCUGUGCUUAUUUUGAAACGAAAAAAAAAAAAGAAAACACUCGCUAAUUAAUACUUCUAAGCUUAAAAUUCCUAAAGAAAGUUUUAAUCAUAGUCAAAAUGUUAGCAUAUGUACAUUAUAGUGCGAAUUUUUCACAUUAGAAAUCGUAAAUUGUCAAGAAAUCACCUUCCAAUGAUCGGAGGUCGGAAUAUUUAGUUUUAUGUAAAUAAAAUAAUAUACCAUCCUUGGAGUGC